UACGAAGGGGACUAGCGUUGUUCGGAAUCACUGGGCGUAAAGCGCACGUAGGCGGAUAUGUCAGUCAGGGGUGAAAUCCCGGGGCUCAACCUCGGAACUGCCUUUGAUACAGCAUAUCUUGAGUCCGAUAGAGGUGGGUGGAAUUCCUAGUGUAGAGGUGAAAUUCGUAGAUAUUAGGAAGAACACCGGUGACGAAGGCGGCCCACUGGAUCGGUACUGACGCUGAGGUGCGAAAGCGUGGGGAGCAAACAGG
rnacentral:rRNA from 1 species